GUCUUUUUGAAGAUCCCUAUGUAGUUAAGGACUUCUGAAGGUCGCCAACACUGGAAGGCUUUCAUCCACUAUGAACAUUCCGUUAAUGACGCUAAAAAGGUCUGAAGGAAUGCUUUUUCUGCCUCCCAAAUCAGCAGUUAAUGGCUACGGCCAUGCUCAUGGGCACAGAGUGACUGUGACCUGUGAAUGAGUCCACAUGGGAGCAUGUACACCCUGAAGCAUCUCUGGCUGUGGCUAAGUCUGCUCAAGAGCAAGUGCACCUGAAAGAAUCUGACUCUAGAGAAAUUUGUGUUGCAGCAGGUGUACCUUACAGUGUCCCUGUGGAUUAGGUCAUGCAAGAAUAUCUUGAAACAUCUAUGGCCAUAGAUAAGAUCACAAAAGAGCAGGUGUCUGAAGGAACUUUAGUCAAUGGAAAAUGAUGCAACAGGGCAGGUACACCUCAAAGAGUCUGUGGCUGUGAUUUAAAAGUAGUUCUACUGCUUUCCUGACUUCAUUUUAUAUGCAUAUUUUAAAACCUUCUCAUAUUUUCUUAUUCUGUUGCUACUUAUUUUCAAGGUGACACUGGAUAUGUCGUGUGUGCAUGUGUGUGAUAAAGACUCUCAUUGAACUUUGUGAAUGUUUUCUGCUGACAUAAUACCAACUACAGAGUCACGAGGGUUUUUAAACCCUUUCAAACAUCCUGAAACACUGCAAUUAUUGGGAUUAUUUGCUUCUGGCUAUGUCGUUGAAACACUUGCUUUUUCACUUACUAUUUAAAACUAAUAAAA
ensembl:lncRNA